ensembl:lncRNA
GGAAAUAAACAGCUCCAUAUAUAAUGCUUAUGGUAACAAAUACGUUACAUAUAUGUCUUUUUAUUUAAUCUCUAGAGCAUACUCUGGUUUAUGGAUUUUUCUUUUUAAUUUUGCUGCUUCCCAUUGGCAACAAUAUGUUACAAGUUUUUAUUCAUUUCAAAUAAAUUCAUUUCAUUCCACCAAAAUUUUUUCUUAGUCCACACCUCGUACUUUUUCAGGUUAACACUCUAUCUAGAAAGCAUUCCCCCCACUUUACAUAAAUCCAAUUUCCUUGCCAAUUACCACAUUAACCUUUACAGAAAACAUACCAAUAUUGGCUCCUCUGAUGAUUCUUUCCUGUUCUCAGAAUCCACGUGCUCCAUUUAUACCAUGUUAAUUUGUGCAGCUAGUAAUUUGUUUUUGUUUUUGUUUUUCUGUGAGGAAGACUGGCCCUGAGCUAACACCUGUGCCAAUCUUCCUCUGUUUUAUGUGGGAUGUUUUAUCUGGGAUCCGAACCUGGCGAACUCUGGGCUUCUGAAGCAGAGCGUGCGAACUCAACCACCACGCCACCAGGCGGGCCCCUAGUAAUGUUUUUUACGUGCAUUCUUUUCUUCAGAUCUGAAAGAGUACCUUAUCUGGCUUCCAUCUUUUCAACUGGAUUGUAAACUUUGAAUUGAAGAGUCACAUCUUUGUAUUAGUUUCUCUAUUUCAUUUCUCCAUAUCUGUCCUCCUGUUACUUGUUUGGUACUCAAAAUGGUUGACUUUUCGGUCUACUAAGUUGUAACUAGGAAUUUCUCAUUGUAGAUCACUGUUUUCUAUUCUGUCAACAGACUGUGAAUGACAGUUCCAGAUUUGGGAUAAUAGGCUUAGACUAGAAAGUAAACAUAAUGACGAACUAAAGUGGAUUAUGUAAAAUAUCAAUAAAUAAAUAUAAAGAAACUCUAUAAUAUCAUUUUAUUGAUAUUCACUAAGAUACUACAGAUUAUUUUUUUAAAAAAAUGUAUGCUACAAAACCUGUACAAAAGCAGUUUAUCAUUAUACACAUUCAGCAUCGUUAGUUGUACGACUACAGAAAUAAAAGGCAAUGUGCUGUGCUGGUUCAUCAGAGCGCAUGAGACCUCAGUUGGAGCUCUUGGCCUUAGUCUCAGGGGUUCCAUCCAGGUGAGCCUGGCCCAGUUUGCAGGUGUGACAGGACCAAGUGCCCCUCUUCUUUAACCGGCUCAGUUUCAUCAGCUUCUUACCAACUUCAGAAAAGUUGCCCACUCGUUGAGAAAAAAGUCAUAAUUAUCACCAUGCAAGUUUUAAAUAUUUUAUAUUUUAUAUUUACAUUGAUUUCUCUUAAAGGCAGUAGCAAAUAUUCUUAGACACUAUUAAGUCAAUUGUAGUCUAUUAAACAGUUUGUGGGUACAAUUGGCCCAGGUUUGAGAUUAAUUUUUACUGACAUCACCAACAGAAUGGUAAGAAAAUAAUGAAUAGUGAUUUUACCUAACUUACAAUCUAAUGGCAUAACCACACUGUUUAUCACAUAUUUUAUUUAUUAAAUAAUUUAUAUUCAUUUUAUAAACAAUUAAUAGUACAUGUUCUAUGUAGGAUGAUCUGUUUGCUUGUGUAUGCUUGGAAAAUGUUAAUAUUUAAAAUUUAGUAUUACUGUUCCUAGGGCAUGCAUUAAGAUGGACCCUUGUUAAUUCCCUAAAUAAUGGCAUAGAAGAUAUUUAAAAUAAUUAAAACUAAAUAUAGAAUCAAGAAAACUACCUUUAAUUUUUAUUUUGUUUUGUUUGACAAAUGAAAAUAUUUACAUGGGAUAAAUCCAGAUGGUCACUGAUUUUUUUUUUCCAGGAAGAUUAGCCCUGAGCUAACAUCUGCUGUGAAUCCUCCUCUUUUCUCUGAGGAAGAGUGACCCUGAGCUAACAUCUGUAACUAUCUUCCUCUACUUUAUAUGUGUGACGCCUACCACAACAUGGCUUGCCAAGCAGUGCCAUGCCCACACCCAGGAUCCAAACAGGCGAACCCGGGCCUCCAAAGCGGAACAUGUGAACAUAACCACUGCACCACUGGGCCAGCCCUUGGUUAUUUAUUUUUAUAUAAUUAAGAGGAAAUAAUUUUAAUUAAAAUUAUUUAAAUGUAUUAGACUCUACAAUUAAAUUUUUUUUAUCUGCCUCAUUUGUAAUAGAUGAUCAAAAGAGGGGUAUAUAAUUGGUAUCUUAAUCUACAUAUAUUUACACAUGGGGAGUAUAAGAAAAGGAAUAGAAACAAGAUAAAAUAUAUAAAAAUUGUACUUGCUUAAAUGAUUAGAUUUCCCACAAAUUGUGGUAGGAAGGGGUAGGUGUUAGACCGCAUAGUUAAGGAAACUUUCAGAGCUACACCUUAAACACUUUUUCUUUAUCUUCAUAGUUCAGUGCUAAUGAUGAUAAUGUUGUUUCAGAUAAAAUAGAGUUGUUAUUACAUUUGAAAUGAGUAUUUUAAAAUAUUGUAAUAAAAUGCACUAUGAAGAUAAAUUAUUUUCCACAUAGGGUCCAGGAAAUAGAAGUGCAUUUAGUAAAAUAAAUUGUAGACUAUAGACACAGUAAAAUUUCCCUAGGGAACCAAAUCAAUCUUUUGACGAGAUAAGUCAUACUUUCGUUCUUGUCCUCAUGUUCUUGAUUUUCAUUUUGUCUAAAAUCCCCCAAAAGAAAGUCAUUAAUGUUGCUGGCUGGACGCUCCAGGAGUUCCUCUUCCCAUCUUCAGCUCUUCCCGUGUCGAUGAAGCAUCAUUCGGGGGAGGUUGUGUCUCCACUGUUUCUCCAUGCUUGGUCCCGGUUCUGGAAGAGGGGAAGUUGUUCUCAAUGUAUUUCAAUCAAAGCUAAAUUCCUUUUAUUUGCAGGUGAGGUGUGAAUGGCCUUUAAAAUUAAGGCCAAUAUAAGAUAAAGACGACUUUCUGAAGCAACUUCUUCAUUUGUGCUGUUUGAAAGAUAAUUGCCUUGUAAAAAGUUCCAAAGUGGCAGCAAUAGUUGAGACUCUAGAAACCGCUUGAACCUCUUCUUCCUCAUGAGCACUGACUGCCUUUUGAUCAUUUAGAAGUGUGUCUUCAGUCACUAGAAUAGACAUCAAUUAUCUCUUUAUUCUGGAUUUUCCAAGUGUAAAACAAAUUUCUCAGACAAUUGACUGAUUGAAUCUGAGAUACUGUGGACGUCAACUUGAACACCAGUGAUCUGCUUAGAUAGGUCAUCCUCUUUUUCAUACCAGUGUUAAGUCAAUGCAGUAAAUCAUUAAGAUAGAACUGCUGAUUUUAAAAAAAGUAAACCAUAAAUUGGAACGAAAAGAAUUACAAUAGGGAGUAACCCACAUUUGGGAUAUGUCUUUCUCAUGGUAGAAGGAGAAGAGAAAUAGUCAAAACAUGCAACGGCCCUUAAAACUUCUCAGGUAUAGCAUGCAUCACUCAUGCUCACAUUUUAUUGGACAAAGCAAGUCAAAUGGUCAAACCCAAAGUCAAUGGGGUGAAAAAGAUUCCUGAAGAGAAUCUCCACAAGUCACAUGACAAUGGAUGGGAGGUAAAAUUGUCUUAUAGGGGGAAAGAGCAUAAUUGUGAGCGAUACAAUCUACUACACUUGUAUAUCUCUCACAGCAGACUCUGUGUACCUUGAGAAAUUUUAUGGCUUUUAUCACUUAGCAUAUUUCCUGGUAUAUAACAGCAGGUUAAUAACAUUUUUUAAAAGUUAAAUAAGGAAAAAAGGAAGGAACCUAACAUUUAUUUAGUGGCAUUGUAUCCAGCACCACCAUGCUUUGUUACCUCAAUGCGACAAACUAGGCAAACAAGAUUCCCAGGUAAAUUAACCUGUGCUUAACAACAAUUAAGGAGCAGUGGACCCAAGAUUUUACCUCCAGCCUGUCUGACUCUAAAGCUGCUUUCUAUUUCACCAUCCUGUCUUUGUAGAGGUAUAUAAUCUACAAAUCUUAUGUAGUGAUUUCUUAAUAUUAAAAUAAAGAAAAGAGGUAGAUGUGGUAGUACUAUGAAUGGUGAUUCUAUUUCUGUACCAAAUCUUACAUUUGACCUAUUCUUAUCAUACCUCCCACCAUUUUUCUAUUUCAGGCAUUUGUCACAUCCCAUUUAGAUUUCCAUAAUAACCCCUUAAUUAUUCUCCCCUCUUGCUAGAUUCCCUUCUACAUUUAAGUAAUGUUCCCAAAGCAUCUCUUUUAUCAUGUCAUUCUGCUGUACAAAAGUGUUUCAAGGUUUCUAAUUAUCUACACUACAAACUGUAGUUUAUGCUCAACCUACAUGGUCUUACUGUUCUUCCUCAAAUAGCUCUGCUGAACUAUUUGCAUCUUUAAGAUCUAAUCUUCACUUUUCCAAAUACAUACUUUGUUUUCUCUGCUCAGUCCACCUGGAAUAACCCCCCUUUUGCCAUCAUAUGGAAACGGUUUUCAACUUGAAGUCAAUGCUGCUUAUUCAAGAAAGACAGCUCAGGUCCACACCUGAAAGUGGUCUCUCCCUCCUCUCUUUCCAUGGAACUUCGUAGCUGUGAGAUGACCAAAGUUACUGAGGAUGUUUAGAUCAUACAGGACUGGAUUCGAUGUGACAACUAUCUUCAGAUAUUUGAAGGGUAGUCCACUAGAAAAAAGAUAGGCUUACUUUCCUUUAAGCUGACUUUCUAAAGGAAAGAACAAGAACCACUGUGGAUAUGUUAUAGGGGAAAAGUUGCAGCAACUUCAGUAUCUGCCUCAAGAAAUAUUUCUUUCCUCUUUUUUUGAGGAAGAUUAGCCCUGAGCUAACAUCUGCUGCCACCAAUCUUCCACUUUUUGCUGAGGAAGAUUCGCCCUGAGCUAACAUCUGUGCCCAUCUUCCUCUACUUUAUAUGUGGGAUGCCUGCUUCAACAUGGCUUGAUAAGUGGUGUGUAGGUCCAUGCUCAGGAUCUCAACUGGUAAACCCCCCGCCGCCAAAGCCUAGCACGUGAACUUUACCGCUAUGCCACCAGGCCAGCCCCAAGAAAGAUUUCUAUCUUCAAAGAAAAUGUUUAAGCAAAAUGUGGAU